rnacentral:rRNA from 1 species
CAAGCAGCGGAGCAUGUGGUUUAAUUCGAAGCAACGCGAAGAACCUUACCAGGGCUUGACAUCCCUCUGACAGUCCCUUAACGGAACCUUCUUCGGACAGAGGAGACAGGUGGUGCAUGGUUGUCGUCAGCUCGUGUCGUGAGAUGUUGGGUUAAGUCCCGCAACGAGCGCAACCCUUGUCUUUAGUUGCCAUCAUUCAGUUGGGCACUCUAGAGAGACUGCCGAGGACAACUCGGAGGAAGGUGGGGAUGAUGUCAAGUCAGCAUGGCCUUUAUAUCCUGGGCUACACACACGCUACAAUGGCCAACACAAUAGGUUGCUAAGCCGCGAGGUGGCGCCAAUCCAUAAAGUUGGUCUCAGUUCAGAUUGUAGGCUGCAACCCGCCUGCAUGAAGAUGGAGUUGCUAGUAACCGCAGGUCAGCUAUACUGCGGUGAAUACGUUCCCGGGGCUU